ensembl:lncRNA
GGCGCCCAGGCCGCGCGCGUGCGUGGAGCGCCGGUGCUCGCCGGGCCCGCCUCCCGCGCUGUUCCCGCCUUGGGCGCCGCGAGCGCGUUCCCGCCUUGGGCGCCGCUGAGGCGAUGCCGCUCCCCCAGCUGCCAGACUCGGCUUUUCCAGGGCGCCGCGUCGAGUUGGGUGCCGUCUGAGGGGAGGCCCCACCACAUCGGCCCGGCAAGAGUGCUGGGCCGUGUUGGUCCGGGUUUGAGGUCCUGUUGUGUCACCUGGCCUCCAAAAUUGGCUCUUCGAGAGUGCUGUGCCGUGUUCGUGCAGGACAUUUCACCCCUGAAGCAGGAGAGUAAUUCCACACUACAACCUCAACAGGAUCCUCAGCCACGCUGUGAGGUGCAAGAUGUUUACUGUGCGAGUUUAGGGAAGCAUUCAUGGGAUGUGGUGACAGCUGGGCAGCAGAGAGGAUCAUCACAGCGUACAGUCAGUGUGCUCAGGUGUUGCUGA